CGAAACGCGAACGGGGGCUUUUUGUUUACACCAAGUAAGCCGCUGCAGAGAAAUCGCGUCCCGGCCGCUCGCACCGUCACCGUGUGCAGGUUUUCCGCGUCAGUCUCAGUCGCCCUUCUUGUCCUGAAUAUUCGACCUGCCCACGCUAAGUUUACGCUUCGAAGAACUGCUACUCGACGAAUAACCGCGUCUCAUCACCAUGCUGGCUGGCCUUUUGUGCUGCCUACGGCUGAACGAGCAUCAGCGGCAGAGACGAUGUACUCUUUCACAACUUCCCACAUGAGAAAAAACAAUCUGCUCAGUGGAUCGCUGCUGUGAAAUGAAAUUCUUGGACAGUUGCUCUCUGGAGAUGCUACCAUCGGGCACACGCCAAGACCAAGUCAUUGUAGCGAAAGAGAUCAUGAUGACUGUGCAGCAGAGCCAGUACAUCAGGCAGCACUGGGUCUGGCUUGUGAGUCGGGACAAGCUGUAGACACAUCACCAGACUCGACGUGUGAGCCGGGCCGUGGCACAAACAAAUCCGUUCAAGUGGGACUACCAACCUGCCACAAAGCAUCACAAGCAAUUGAAAAGAAAAUUCUGUCAUCAAUUGCUACACAAACAGAACCACAUGCUGCUUCUUCAGGCUCCUUGUCUUUUGCAUCCUUGGAGCAGUCUUCAUCACUGGCGUCUGUUCGAGGCCAACUUCAUUGCUGCCAGCAGUGCGCCUAUGUGACCCUGGACCAGUCGACUAUGGACAGACACCUUCAGAAACACAUGGGCGAGCCCCCCUUACAGUGCCACUUGUGUCCUGCUGUAUUCACUCACAAGUCCAAGCUGGUGGCUCACAUGCGCACACACAUUGAAGAGCGGCCCUUCUCCUGUGUCCACAGCAGUGCGUCCUUUGAUGAGAAAAGCAACCUCGUGAGACAUAAUCGCAUGCACACAGGAGAGCGGCCCUUUUCCUGUGUUCACUGCAAUGCAUCCUUUUUCUUGAAAAUCGAUCUCAUUGAACACAUGUCUUGUCACGCAGGAGAGCAUCUGUUUUCCUGUGUUCACUGCAAUGCAUCCUUUUCGAUCAGAGGCAGCCUCGUUAGGCAUAUGCGCGCUCAUACGGGAAAGCGUCCCUUCUCCUGUGUGCACUGUAAUGCAACCUUUGGUCGGAAGACCAGCCUCAUGAGUCACAUCCGCACGCACACAGGAAAACGUCCCUUUUCCUGUGUCCACUGCAGUGCGUCCUUUGUGCAGAGAAGCAGACUUGUGAUACACAUCCGCAUGCAUACCGGAGAGCGUCCCUUUUCCUGUGUUCACUGCGAUGCAUCCUUUUCGGCCAAAGGCAACCUCACUUCCCAUAUUCGCACUCACACGGGAGAGCGUCCCUUCUCCUGUGCGCACUGUAAUGCAUCCUUUGCUCGGAAGAACAGCCUCGUGAAACACAUCCGCAAGCACAUAGGAGGUGAAGGCAAGGCGAAGGUUGCACCAGCACGGAACGACAGCAGUCCUCACUGCUUAUCUAGGAGGUAGUCAGCUUUUGGCACUAAGGUAGUGUGAGCCCAUAUAUCUGGUAACUACCUGUGCUCUAUCUUGCUUUGGUGCGCACAAUGUUCAGGAAGUGACAUUGUGCCAGUGCUUUGGUGACAUGUCGAUACAAAAGGCAAAGUGACACAACAUUCUUCUGAAAGAUGGUUUGGAAUUCAUACUGUGGUGAUGUGGAUUGUGGCCGUGACACGGUGGAGAUCUGGAGCGAGGCGGCUCAUGAUGACGAUUACUGCGUGACCACACAGUAAUGAUGAUCGAGGCGAAGAACGCGGACCGCGAGAAAAAAA
rnacentral:misc_RNA from 1 species